UUUCCGUAGGUGAACCUGCGGAAGGAUCAUUACCGAGUGAGGGCCCUCUGGGUCCAACCUCCCACCCGUGUUUAUCGUACCUUGUUGCUUCGGCGGGCCCGCCUCACGGCCGCCGGGGGGCUUCUGCCCCCGGGCCCGCGCCCGCCGAAGACCCCACUUGAACGCUGUCUGAAGUUUGCAGUCUGAGAAUUAGCUAAAUAAGUUAAAACUUUCAACAACGGAUCUCUUGGUUCCGGCAUCGAUGAAGAACGCAGCGAAAUGCGAUAAGUAAUGUGAAUUGCAGAAUUCAGUGAAUCAUCGAGUCUUUGAACGCACAUUGCGCCCCCUGGUAUUCCGGGGGGCAUGCCUGUCCGAGCGUCAUUGCUGCCCUCAAGCACGGCUUGUGUGUUGGGCCCCGUCCCCCUCUCCCGGGGGACGGGCCCGAAAGGCAGCGGCGGCACCGCGUCCGGUCCUCGAGCGUAUGGGGCUUUGUCACCCGCUCUUGUAGGCCCGGCCGGCGCCAGCCGACAACCAUCAAUUUUUUCUCAGGUUGACCUCGGAUCAGGUAGGGAUACCCGCUGAACUUAAGCAUAUCAAUAAGCGG
rnacentral:rRNA from 1 species